CCUACGGGGGGCACCAGUGGGAAAUAUUGGACAAUGGGCGAAAGCCUGAUCCAGCAAUGCCGCGUGUGUGAAGAAGGUCUUUGGAUUGUAAGCACUUUCGACGGGGACGAUGAUGACGGUACCCGUAGAAGAAGCCCCGGCUAACUUCGUGCCAACAGCCGCGGUAAUACGAAGGGGGCUAGCGUUGCUCGGAAUGACUGGGCGUAAAGGGCGCGUAGGCGGUUUAUGCAGUCAGAUGUGAAAUCCCCGGGCUUAACCCGGGAACUGCAUUUGAGACGCAUAGACUAGAGGUCGAGAGAGGGUUGUGGAAUUCCCAGUGUAGAGGUGAAAUUCGUAGAUAUUGGGAAGAACACCGGUGGCGAAGGCGGCAACCUGGCUCGAUACUGACGCUGAGGCGCGAAAGCGUGGGGAGCAAACAGGAUUAGAUACCCGAGUAGUC
rnacentral:rRNA from 1 species